AUUGAACGCUGGCGGCAGGCCUAACACACGCAAGUCGAGCGGAUGAAGGGAGCUUGCUCCUGGAUUCAGCGGCGGACGGGUGAGUAAUGCCUAGGAAUCUGCCUGGUAGUGGGGGAUAACGUCCGGAAACGGGCGCUAAUACCGCAUACGUCCUGAGGGAGAAAGUGGGGGAUCUUCGGACCUCACGCUAUCAGAUGAGCCUAGGUCGGAUUAGCCAGUUGGUGGGGUAAAGGCCUACCAAGGCGACGAUCCGUAACUGGUCUGAGAGGAUGAUCAGUCACACUGGAACUGAGACACGGUCCAGACUCCUACGGGAGGCAGCAGUGGGGAAUAUUGGACAAUGGGCGAAAGCCUGAUCCAGCCAUGCCGCGUGUGUGAAGAAGGUCUUCGGAUUGUAAAGCACUUUAAGUUGGGAGGAAGGGCAGUAAGUUAAUACCUUGCUGUUUUGACGUUACCAACAGAAUAAGCACCGGCUAACUUCGUG
rnacentral:rRNA from 1 species